UUUCCUAUUUGCUGAUCUUUAAUUAUGAAGAUUUUCAUAUAUGAUUAGGAAAUAAAAUUUCAUGAGAAUUUUUACUUUUCAUGUAUUGUAGAAUUUUUGUUGUUUUCUUGUUUAUUUUCCUCUUAAACUUGUGGUAAAUAUAAUAUACUAUUAUACUCUUGGGUUAAUGGCCAUGUUGUCAUCUUUUCUUGGACUUCUUUAAUUAGUCCAAUCUCAUCUUCUUUAUUGAUCCACGCUUAGAUAAAAAGUUGAAAGACUUGUUGUAAUUUUUUAGCUCUCUCUCUUGUAAUGGGCUUGCUUGGUAUUGAAAUAUCCUCUCCACCAACUUGACCCAUGUCCACGCUCACAUCACGUAUCAUAUCAAAACAUAGUUCAAAUUUGUACUAACUAAUGGGAUAUAUAACAUUAUGCAUUUUGGCCAGUGAAUAUACAUAGGAGGGUUCAUAUUCUCUACCUCUUACGAUCCCUAGGAAAAAAUAUGAAAUGGGCAGUGAGUUAUGCCUCAUUUGAUAGUGCCAAACAUCAAAAUAUUCUCCUUGAUUCAAAUUAGAUUGGAGUGUUGUGGACAAAGCUUGAUGAGAAUCUGUAGAUGAGCUCUCAUCUAAUCCCAAAUAGUACAAGACCUCAUUGACUCUACCCACUCUAAUUAUCUUCCACGUCGAAAGGUCAUGUAAAAUAUAAAAUUAUGGUGAGGGGAUAAAGUAAUACUUUGAAUCCUCACUCAAUUUUCUUCCCGAGAUCAAGUUAAAUCUUAAGCAUGAGACAUAAAGGACAUUAAAGUAUCAAUGCAUCUCCUAUCUUCACUGUACUAAUGUGGAAAACUUUCACCAUUUUUCCAUUUGGCAAAACAACCAAUGAAAAAUUUCUUUUUGCAACUCUAGUGUAAAGAGGAGGUAUGCAUAUGAUGUGAUCUAAUGCUCAAAUGUCUAUGAUCCACGAGAAUAUGUUGUAUUUAAUUUGCUCUAUUGAAUAAAUAGAGAGACAAGGAUACAUUCAAGAGAAUCCUGACAUACUUAUGUCUUGAGGUUGUAAUGAUGAUUGUCUUAGGGAGAGCUUUAACUACAAUAGUUCUAUCAAUUGUGUGCACUAAACCUAGGUUAUCAUAGCCUAUCUUUGGUUGGCUCUUGACCCACCUGCAUCAGGUGAGUAAACAUGGUUGACAACGGAUUACUUAUGCCCUUCCAUAAUUUUUUUUUGAUCCCAUGGGUAUUCACACAAUAUGAAAC
rnacentral:lncRNA from 1 species